ensembl:lncRNA
CGGAGACAGAGAAGGUACUGAUGGACGGAGACAGAGAAGGUACUGAUGGACAGAGAGAGAGAAGGUACUGAUGGACAGAGACAGAGAAGGUACUGAUGGACAGAGACAGAGAAGGUACUGAUGGACAGAGAGAGAGAAGGUACUGAUGGACGGAGAGAGAGAAGGUACGGAUGGACGGAGAGAGAGAAGGUACUGAUGGAUGGAGAGAGAGAAGGUACUGAUGGACGGAGAGAGAGAAGGUACGGAUGGACGGCGAGAGAGAAGGUACGGAUGGACGGAGAGAAAGAAGGUACGGAUGGACGAAGAGAGAGAGAAGGUACAGAUGGACGGAGAGAAGGAGAAGAGUAACAAGUAUGGAUGCACGCAGAGAGAGGAGGAGGAGAGUAACAGGUACGGAUGGAGGGAGAGAGAGAAGGAAGGAGGAGAGAAGCAAGAGAGAGGGGGAUGAGGGAGGCAGAAACCACUCCAACAGCCCAGGCAGCAUACCGUUCAUUCUAUAUCUCCACACACCCUCUUUCUCUUCCUUCUCUCACUCUCCCUCUGUUAUUCCCUCUCUAUUCCUCCCCCACUCUACCUCCUCCCAUACUGAAACUAUAGCUAUGGUUUAAUUACCAAUGAAGAAAUUACAAACAAACAUUAUUU